AAAAAAAAAAAAAGUAUAUUAAAAAAUAAAUUUCAUAAAAUAAAUAAAUACCAGGAAAAAAAAAGGCAAAAAAAAAAAUUCCAAUUCUCGCUUUCGAUCUGGGAGGAAAUAAAAAUUUAGAAAUACCACAAAUAUUGCUCCAUAGAACCAAACAAGCCCGGCCCCUCUUACUCCUCCACGCCCACCACCACAACCACCACCUUCUCCUCUCCACUGCGUCCUUGUGAUCUCAGUAUAAGGUAAUAGCAAACAGAAUAGGAAAAGGAACAAGAUUCGCAGAGCCCGAUUCCUAUGCUCUGAUAAUUUAGUGACGCCCAGAGGAAGAGAAAAAAAUAGAAAGAGAGAGAAAUGGGAGGAGGAGAAAGAGGAGAAUACAGCGAUGAAAAUCAUAUGUUGAUAUCAAACAGUAACAGAGGAGAACACGACGAUGGUGGAGAGGACUUGGAAGAUCAAGGCAUCAUCAGUACGCCUAGUCGUCUCAGCAAAGGAGGAAGCGGCGGUGCUAUUAAGGAUCUCAUCCUCAAACAUUUGGAUCGAGGCCUUUCUGGUCGCCGUCUCUCCAGUUUCAAGCGUCUCGAUAGAGAUACUAACAGAGAUAUGUCGCUGCAUUCUCAUUCUCGUAAUCAUAGUCAUAAUCAUGAGGAUUUUGGCGGACAUCAUGGUGAUGAUGAUGAUGUUCUCGGGGAUAGCGCACCUCCCGAGUGGGUUUUGCUUCUUAUUGGUUGCCUUCUUGGCCUUGCCUCCGGUCUCUGUGUCGCUGCUUUUAAUAAAGGGGUUCACGUAAUACAUGAAUGGGCUUGGGCUGGGACUCCUAAUGAGGGUGCUGCAUGGCUUCGUCUACAGAGGUUGGCUGACACUUGGCAUCGAAUUCUUUUGAUACCAGUAACAGGGGGGGUUAUUGUUGGGAUGAUGCAUGGCUUAGUGGAAAUAUUAGACCAAAUAAGACAGACCAGUCCUUCCCAAAGACAAGGUGUUGAUUUGGUUGCUGGAGUUUUCCCCACGAUAAAGGCCAUUCAAGCUGCUGUUACUCUAGGUACAGGUUGUUCUUUGGGUCCUGAAGGCCCUAGUGUUGAUAUUGGAAAAUCCUGUGCCAAUGGACUUUUAUUAAUGAUGGAAAACAACAGAGAAAGGGAGAUUGCUCUUGUUGCAGCUGGUGCGGCAGCUGGGAUUGCUUCAGGUUUCAAUGCAGCUGUUGCUGGUUGUUUCUUUGCUAUUGAAACUGUGUUAAGGCCACGGCGUGCUGAAAAUUCACCUCCAUUCACAACUGCAAUGAUAAUAUUGGCUUCUGUUAUAUCAUCAACUGUAUCAAAUGUCUUACUUGGUACACAAUCAGCUUUUACAGUGCCACCUUAUGAUUUGAAAUCUGCUGCUGAAUUACCUUUGUACCUGAUCUUGGGCAUGCUCUGUGGUGUUGUAAGUGUGGCCUUUACUCGCUUGGUCUCUUGGUUCACCAAGUCAUUUCAGUUUAUCAAGGAAAAAUUUGCCCUUCCUGCUGUUGUUUGUCCUGCUUUAGGUGGUUUAGGAGCUGGGAUAAUCGCUCUCAGGUAUCCUGGGAUACUGUACUGGGGUUUCACAAAUGUUGAAGAAAUUUUACGUACCGGGAAGAGUGCUUCAGCUCCAGGAAUCUGGUUGUUAACCCAACUAGCAGUAGCCAAAGUUGUGGCUACAUCUCUUUGCAAAGGUUCAGGUCUUGUGGGUGGUCUUUAUGCACCAAGUUUGAUGAUUGGUGCUGCUAUUGGUGCUGUAUUUGGGGGUUCAGCUGCUGAAGUUAUCAAUUCGGCCAUUCCUGGAAAUGCUGCUGUUGCUCAGCCUCAGGCAUAUGCAUUGGUUGGAAUGGCUGCUACAUUAGCUUCAGUUUGUUCGGUGCCAUUGACAUCGGUUCUCCUUUUGUUUGAGUUGACGAAAGACUACAGGAUAAUUCUUCCCCUCAUGGGGGCUGUUGGAUUAGCAAUAUGGGUUCCUUCUGUGGCCAACCAGGCAAAAGAGACUGAAGCAUCUGAUACACAUGCUUUGACAAGAGGUUAUUCUUCUCUUUCAAAUUCUGAAGACAUGAAUGAAAUCUGGAGAAGAAUUGAUGGUGGAGAUGAUCUAGAACUCUCCAUCAUAGAAAAUACUUCUGAUCAUGAAGCAAUCAAUCAAGAUUGGCUUUUGGAAGAUCUGAAGGUUUCUAGGGCCAUGUCAAAGAACUAUGUUAAGGUUUCAUUGGCCUCAACUCUGAAAGAAGCCAUAGAGUGUAUGCAUAACAGCAAGCAGAAUUGUGUGCUUGUGGUUGAUGAUGAAGAUUUACUGGAUGGAAUGCUAACAUAUGGUGACAUUAGGCGGCUGUCUAAUAAGUCUGAUGAAGCACCCAUAGGGGAUUCAACAAUUACAGAUGUAAAUACCUGUCUUGUUUCAUCUGUUUGUACCCGAGGGAUAAGCUACAGAGGCCAAGAUCGCGGGCUUUUGACCUGCUAUCCAGACACUGAUUUGGCAAUUGCCAAGGAGCUAAUGGAGGCCAAAGGGAUCAAGCAGUUGCCUGUUGUUCAGAGGUGUAGAGGUUUCUGGAAAGAAAGGAAACGAAGAAUAGUUGCUAUUCUUCAUUACGAUUCUAUUCGGAACUGUCUCAGGUUCAUAUUGGAUUUAUGUUUUCAAGUAGACAAUCUAAAUUUAUUUUUCACAAUUGACGCUUGAAUCCUGAUUUCAAUUCUAGAACUUAUGACUUUGACUUUAAUCUUAUUAUAGUUAUGAAGUGCAAUUGUUGGUAUGAGGGCAUUUGGUUUAGUUGUUGGGGCUAGUUGAUAGCUAUUUGACCCUCAACAACAAGGUCAACCCAUUUGAUAGGAAAAAAUUAGUAGCUUUUAAUUGUUAAGAACCCAAUAGCCUGUGACUUUUUCCUAUUGGCUGAUAGUUGAAUAGGCAAAAAAUGUAUUUAUUACAAAUAUUUAUGCAAAUUUAAUUUUAAUUUUCUUAAUUUAUGAUUUUAUUAUUAUUUGAUUUGUAUAACACAUUAAAAGGAAAAACAAUAUUACAUAUAAGAUUAUAUGUUAGAAAUAAAUUAUACCCUCAAUACUCAUUUGACAUAUCAACGACAACAAUAAUUAGCAAAUUUUUGCCAAACAGUUAACAUUUGUUAGCAAAAAUUACCAGCUGUUAGCUAUCAUUAUCAGCUAUCAACAUAGCUAUCCAUACCUUUUUUUUUGGCUUUAAUUAGAGAAUUUAAGAAUAACAUAGCAUUUAAACAUCGAGUUAAUUUUCCAUGAUAUAAAAGCAUAGUUUAAAGUUUUUUGAGGUUAUGCAGAUAGUUUAACAUAUCAAGAAGUUCUCCACUUGUCCCAGUGGCAGCUAGAUGAAAAAAAAUUAUCUCAGUUGUAAAGCCUAUUAAACUUGUUUUAUAGGUGUUAAUGUUGAUUCUUCAAAUUUUCAUCUAUUUUUAUGCAUAGGCAUGUAAUUGAGUACAACAAAUGCAGAAAAGGGCAAUAAAAAGGGAAGUCGAAUGAGUUGAUUUUAUAACUGCUCUUCUUUGUUUCCUAGGCAAUACAUUUUAUUGCCUUGUCGUUGGCUCUCUAUUGAACAAUUGUGUUUUCUUACAGAUAUUUACUUGCAAGAAAUUGGUCACAUGGUUCCUUUCACUUGAUUUGUAAUUUUGACAACCUAAAUUAUUUUGCAAUUUACAAGGCUUUUCUGUUAGUUGAGAAUUGUUCUUGUCUCUGCAGAGAGGAGAUAGCUCGUAGGAAGGCCAUGUAUCAGCAUAGAAAAGAGAGUGGUCUAAUUGAAAGCAGCCAUUAAUGUGGCGAAGUUGCUUGUCAAAUUUAAGUUACUUUGGACGACCGUGUGAGGGACAGGUAGGAAGAGAGAUCAUGGUUGCGGAUGACAGGUAUAUACAUGUUUUGUUCCGAUGAUUGAGAAAUGAAAACAUACCAUAUAUAUAUAUAUAUAUGAUGGCUUUAGCUAUUGUCUAAGGUUAGUUGUAGCAAAUUGCAUUUUGUAUAUGAAAAUUUAUUUAGUUAUAUUCCAAUGUUAUCAAAAAGGAAAAGAAGGAACUUGUCAAUAGUUGAAUUACAAUUUUGCUGCUUUUUAUUCCUCCAAUUUUCUUCUCUUCUUGGGAAGUUUGGCACUUUUUCUAUAUAUAUGCAUUUGGUUAGACCUUCUGCAGAUCCUUGGGUUGCUCUCUAUGGUGUAUAUGUAUAUAUGUUUUUGAGCUUUGCUCUUGGCUUGCCUGUCCACUGCGAGAUAUGGGAUUUUGUAAGAAAGCUGAACCAAACCUUGAUUGUGUAGAUGCCCAUCGAUUGUUUAAAAAUUUGCAGCACUGGAUAUCAGAAUGUAAAUUAAAUUUUGUUAAUAG
rnacentral:misc_RNA from 1 species